rnacentral:rRNA from 1 species
AUCUACGGCCAUGUCACCCUGAACAAGCCUGAUGUCUGAUCUCGGAAGCUAAGCAGGGUCGGGCCUGGUUAGUAUUUGGAUGAGAGACCACCUAGGAAGACCAGGAGCUAUAGGCG